rnacentral:rRNA from 1 species
CGGGCUCGGGCAGGCUGUCGGCCUCGGUCGGACGGCAGGCUCGGGCCUUUCUGCCUGGGGACUCCGUCACACUUAACUGUGGGGCGGUUGGACGCAGGCCGUUUACUUUGAAAAAAUUAGAGUGUUCAAAGCAGGCCUACGCUUGAAUACAUUAGCAUGGAAUAAUGGAAUAGGACUUUGGUGCUAUUUUGUUGGUUUAUGGGACCGAAGUAAUGAUUAACAGGGACAGUUGGGGCCGUUUAUAUUUCGUUGUCAGAGGUGAAAUUCUUGGAUUUACGAAAGAUAAACUUCUGCGAAAGCAUUCGGCAAGGAUGUUUUCAUUGAUCAAGAACGAAAGUUAGGGGAUCGAAGACGAUCAGAUACCGUCGUAGUCUUAACCAUAAACUAUGCCGACUAGGGAUCAGUGGAUGUCAAUUUGCGACUCCAUUGGCACCUUGUGAGAAAUCAAAGUUUUUGGGUUCCGGGGGGAGUAUGGUCGCAAGGCUGAAACUUAAAGGAAUUGACGGAAGGGCACCACCAGGAGUGGAGCCUGCGGCUUAAUUUGACUCAACACGGGGAAACUUACCAGGUCCAGACAUAGUAAGGAUUGACAGAUUGAAAGCUCUUUCUUGAUUCUAUGGGUGGUGGUGCAUGGCCGUUCUUAGUUGGUGGAGUGAUUUGU